UACAGAGGGGGCAAGCGUUGUUCGGAUUCACUGGGCGUAAAGGGUGCGCAGGCGGCCAAGUGUGUCAGGUGUGAAAUCCCGGGGCUUAACUCUGGAACUGCGCCUGAAACUACUUGGCUAGAGCAUUGGAGAGGGAAGUGGAAUUCACGGUGUAGCAGUGAAAUGCGUAGAUAUCGUGAGGAACACCAGAGGCGAAGGCGACUUCCUGGACAAUUGCUGACGCUCAGGCACGAAAGCCAGGGUAGCGAACGGG
rnacentral:rRNA from 1 species